AGGCCGAUGGUGUAGUUGGUUAUCACUUCUGUCUAACAUCCUAACGUUACAAGCGUCGAUGUGCACAGGCGGUCCUCAGUUCGAACCUGGGUCGGCUCA